CGGCCGCCAUACCGGAGAACCGCGCGUGGAGGCCGAGGACGACGCGCCGGCGGCCGAGGCGAGGCUCCGCGGUGGUGGAGGCCGGUAUGGCGCUCUGUCGUGUAGGCGACCAGCAGCCGGGCAGCCGCCACACUGGAGAACCGCGCGUGGAGGCCAAGGACGACGCGCCGGCGACCGAGGCGGCGAAGGCCGGCAUGGCGCCGUAGGCCUGGUUGCUCCCUCAUCCCCUAACCCGAGUGCCCUCUCUCUCUCUGUUCCUUCCAUUCGCAGGCAGGGGCUCGAGCCGCAGACGCCACUAUCGUCGCACGCGUCGCCGGCCGAAAUCCAGCUGUCGCCGACCGGAAUCUAGCCACCGCUGCCCGGAAUCCAGCUGCUGCCGCCCGGAAUCGCGCCGCCUCGGCCUGAAUUCGCCCCUCUCCAUCGCCUAGAGCCGCCUCUGCGGUCGCCCGUUGCUAGCAACAAGGGAUUGAGAUUCUGCCAUGGCAUCGAGCAACGGCCAAUCCUCGGUUGGUAGUAGUGCAAGCAACAACAUUGCUGUUGAGAGGCUAAGGUUGGUGGUGUCCGAAUGGCAUCAGACGUAACAGGUACCAUGAGGAUUGCAGAUAUUGCCAAAUUGGCGAUACAUUCAGAUUUAUCCAUCAAAGAAGGGCAACAAAUCGGGCAGUUUUUAAUCCCAUCUCAUGCAUUCAAUUAUUCUUCCUUCAUAACCUGUCAUUUUAUUGAUUUUAUACAUAUACUCAGCGUAUCUCCGUAUUGUUUCUUUUUCAAAUCGGUGUAUUCUGUAUCGCCGUCUCCGUAUCGUCGUAUCAUGUUGCUGUAUCCAUGCUUCGUAGCUUGCAAGUCCUUCAUCCAGUGCCAGCGACAUACUGAAAUCCGGCCGGAACCAUAUCAUAACACGUCUCAUAAGUUUUGUACUGAAUGUGAUUUAGAGCUAAACUUUUACAUCCAAUUACUGAAGGGAAUCAAAUCCUUUCAGCACUUCAACGCACUUUAAUUUUCUUUAUAUGACUGUCUCUGUCAAAAGUAGCAGAUUUCUGUCUAAAAACUAAUAAAACUUGCAUCUAAUAAGAUUGAUAUACUUAACUAUAUUAGUAUCACGUUCUGGACUAUCAUAAUAAUACAUUUUUGUUUUUUCAGAUUGUUUGACAUUGUUUUGCGAAUGGCCGCCUCGCCACCACCUGGCCGACGACAAUAGGAACACUUUUUUUUUGUUCUUCAGCUCAUACAGCUACAUCAAGGGCGCGGUGUGCUGCCACUUAUUUGUGAAGUAUACUUAAAUGUAACACUCUCGUGUUAAUUUGUUCUGUUGCUCAACUCGAAAGCAUAGCACUAUAGACUACAUAGAUGAUAACUUAUUUUUUACAGCAUCCAAGUUUCAGGGAGUCUGUUCCUUGAAAAGCUCCCAACAUCAACUACUAAACCUACUUGCUUGCCUACUGAGUACUUCUGAAGAAAAGACCUUGAUACACAUUAUUCUGAGAUAAAGACCUCACCUUCUUUUAGCCUUAAUACACAUAUAAUUCAAAUAAUGAAGAUGCACUUUCCCCAUAUGUACCCAAAGGUUGUCGUGAGUAUUAGUUCGUUAGAUCUUUAUGUUUAUAUCAUUUAUGAACUUUACAAAGAAAGAUGUUACUUGAUGCUAAGAAGAUUGGUGUUUCUGGAUUCUUGGUGUUCAUUAAGGUAAGAAAGCAUGCCUCCUUUUUUUUAUGGCAAACACAAUUUGACUCAUGUUAUUUCUAUGGCAAAGACUCUUCGAUCUGGCUAUUCUUUCUUUUGUUAUCUUCCUAGGUUUAGAGCUGUAUUCUUUUCUUGCACACAAACGAUAGCCUGUAAGGUGAGCUACCUAAUAUCAUGGUAUCUAUCUGUCAUUCUGGAGGUGGUAUAAUUUACUUUGGAAGCCAGUAUUCAAAUAUCAUUAUGUUUGAUCAUACACAUCACUGUUUUAUCAUGCACCAAAAUCUUGUAUUCAAUUAGAUUCUGUUGCUCUAUACUGAACUAACUUUUUCCUUUCAUAAGUUUAAUAUGUCUGCCAGUAUGGCUUAAUGGAGUUUGAGGAUUCUGACAAUUAUUUAGUUAUGUUGUAACUUUGCAUUAUCUAAUAUUUUAAGAAUUUUUUUUGGAGAAUGUGUUUAAAUCUCUGCCACUAUGACAUAGCUGGAAUUUCACGAAUGUGACAAUUUAGUUGUGUACUAGCUGCAUGUUAUCACAGAUUUCUAAUAAAUAAUUUAGUAGGCUGUGCUUCCAGAUAGUAUCUGCUUUGCUGCAUCUGCAGUGGUUUUGCAUAGCCUGAUAGUCAGCCUAAAUUAACUAAAUAGUUAUAUGUGCUUAUCCUCAUUUAGAACACUAGGUUUGCUUUUAAGUUGGAAAGCUUGCUAAUUUUUGCAAAUUCGAUAUUAAGCAACGAUGGUGAGCUUUUCUUACAGCAUAAUGCAAGUAAAAUUUACCAAUUCAGUGGUGCUUACUCUCAUAUGGGGGGAGAGGGCAACACUCCUCUGUUAGAUAUCUCAUAUCUGCCCAAUCUUGCUGCUAUGGUGUCUCUAAUACAUAGCAAAAAAAGUUAGCAAGAGUCCUCUGUUAGAUAUCUCAUAUCUAUCCAUUGGGCCUUCAAACUUACAAAUGUUCCAUAUUUCGAUUAUGAGCAUACAGUAUGCUCUCCAAACUUCUGGAAAUCAUAUAUGCAUGCAACAAGAUUGGGGCUAAUUCAUCUCUAUUGCUAUAGUUUCCUCCUUGAUUCAUAGGAUUUGGUCAUCUCCAAUCUUAUAGUGUACAUACUAGAAUACAAAAAAAUAUCGAGUUCAUCUUCAAAAUAUAUAGGGUCUACAUGUCCUGCCAUUGUAUUUGUGAUCUACAUUUUGCAUUCAUAAAUUAUGCUGGCAAAUACGAAUGCUUCAUUGACCCAUACGAGAACUUUGUCCAUGGGUGGUCACUGCCUAUAUGUAAUUAAGUAGAUAGAUCAUUAUUUUUUUUACAUAGGUUGGUGCUGGACUACAGGGCGAUGGAGGAUUACCUCUGAGCACCAGCUGAUCCUAUGCAGUGUUUCCAUAUUCUGAUAUGAGACGAAAUUCUAAAUAAUGAUUGCUACUUCAAAUUAGAUUAGGUACUCAAUUACAUUUUGUUUUCAUAGUAGUGUUACAACCUUCUUCGUGCUUUAAACAACAAGGCAUAUGAGCUUGAAACUAGACCUAGCAUCCAUGCAUAUAUGCAGCAAGUGCCUUUUUUCCCUUUUUUUUA